UACGUAGGGUGCGAGCGUUGUCCGGAAUUAUUGGGCGUAAAGAGCUUGUAGGCGGUCUGUCGCGUCUGCUGUGAAAAUCCGGGGCUCAACCCCGGACUUGCAGUGGGUACGGGCAGACUAGAGUGUGGUAGGGGAGACUGGAAUUCCUGGUGUAGCGGUGAAAUGCGCAGAUAUCAGGAGGAACACCGGUGGCGAAGGCGGGUCUCUGGGCCGGUACUGACGCUGAGACGCGAAAGCGUGGGGAGCGAACAGG
rnacentral:rRNA from 1 species